GAUGAACGCUAGCGGCAGGCUUAACACAUGCAAGUCGAGGGGUAGAAGUUGCUUGCAACUUUGAGACCGGCGCACGGGUGCGUAACGCGUAUGCAAUCUACCUUAUACAGAGGGAUAGCCCAGAGAAAUUUGGAUUAAUACCUCAUAGUAUAAUUGAAUGGCAUCAUUUAAUUAUUAAAGUUCCAACGGUAUAAGAUGAGCAUGCGUCCUAUUAGCUAGAUGGUAAGGUAACGGCUUACCAUGGCAACGAUAGGUAGGGGUCCUGAGAGGGAGAUCCCCCAAACUGGUACGGAGACACGGCCCAGACUCCUACGGGAGGCAGCAGUGAGGAAUAUUGGACAAUGGGCGCAAGCCUGAUCCAGCCAUGCCGCGUGCAGGAAGAAGCAUCUAUGGUGUGUAAACUGCUUUUGUACGGGAAGAAACACCCCUUCGUGAAGGGACUUGACGGUACCGUAAGAAUAAGGAUCGGCUAACUCCGUGCCAGCAGCCGCCGUAAUAC
rnacentral:rRNA from 1 species